rnacentral:rRNA from 1 species
GUGAAUGAUGAAGGUCUUAGGAUUGUAAAAUUCUUUCACCGGGGAAGAUAAUGACGGUACCCGGAGAAGAAGCCCCGGCUAACUUCGUGCCAGCAGCCGCGGUAAUACGAAGGGGGCUAGCGUUGCUCGGAUUUACUGGGCGUAAAGGGCGCGUAGGCGGACAGUUUAGUCAGAGGUGAAAGCCCGGGGCUCAACCCCGGAAUUGCCUUUGAUACUGGCUGUCUUGAGUUUUGGGGAGAGGUAUGCGGAACUCCGAGUGUAGAGGUGAAAUUCGUAGAUAUUCGGAAGAACACCAGUGGCGAAGGCGGCAUACUGGCCCAAUACUGACGCUGAGGCGCGAAAGCGUGGGGAGCAAACAGGAUUAGAUACCCUGGUAGUCCACGCCGUAAACGAUGAUUGCUAGUUGUCGGCACGCAUGCGUGUCGGUGACGCAGCUAACGCAUUAAGCAAUCCGCCUGGGGAGUACGGUCGCAAGAUU